AAUGAACGCUGGCGGCAGGCCUAACACAUGCAAGUCGAACGAGGCAGCAAUGCCUAGUGGCGGACGGGUGAGUAACGCGUGGGAACGUGCCCCUUGGUACGGAAUAGCCCUGGGAAACUGGGAGUAAUACCGUAUGUGGUCGAGAGACGAAAGAUUUAUCGCCAAGGGAUCGGCCCGCGUUGGAUUAGGUAGUUGGUGGGGUAAUGGCCUACCAAGCCGACGAUCCAUAGCUGGUUUGAGAGGAUGAUCAGCCACACUGGGACUGAGACACGGCCCAGGCUCCUACGGGAGGCAGCAGUGGGGAAUCUUGGACAAUGGGGGAAGCCCUGAUCUAGCCAUGCCGCGUGAUCGAUGAAGGCCUUAGGGUUGUAAAGAUCUUUCAGUGGGGAAGAUAAUGACGGUACCCACAGAAGAAGCCCCGGCUAACUCCGUGCCAGCCGCCGCAGUAA
rnacentral:rRNA from 1 species